rnacentral:piRNA from 1 species
UGGCCAAGAGAAACAUGAGCCUGUUGGAUGA